rnacentral:rRNA from 1 species
CCCUUCGGGGCGAAAGUGGCGAAAGGGCGAGUAAUACGAUCGAACGUACCCCAAGGUGGAGGAUAGUGUCGGGAAACUGGCGGUAAUACUCCAUGUGCUCUUCGGAGGAAAGCUUUGGCGCCUCGGGAGCGGCGAUCGUCCUAUCAGGUAGUUGGUGAGGUAACGGCUCACCAAGCCGAAGACGGGUAGCGGGUGUGAGAGCAUGACCCGCCGCAUCGGGACUGAGACACUGCCCGGACUCCUACGGGAGGCUGCAGCGACGAAUCUUCCGCAAUGGGCGCAAGCCUGACGGAGCAAUGCCGCGUGUGGGAUGAAGCAUCUUCGAUGUGUAAACCACUGUCAGAUUCUAGGAACACUGACCAGAAUCAGAGGAAGGGCCGGCUAAUCUCGUGUCAGCAGCCGCGGUAAUACGAGAGGCCCGAGCGUUAAUCGGAAUCACUGGGCUUAAAGCGUGCGCAGGCGGUCCAGCAAGCGUCUUGUGAAAUCCCCCGGCUCAACCGGGGAAGUGCAGGGCGAACUGCUGGACUUGAGGCAGGUAGGGGCUGAUGGAACCAUGAGUGGAGCGGUGAAAUGCGUAGAUAUUCAUGGGAACGCCGAUGGGGAAGCCGAUCAGCUGGGCCUGUCCUGACGCUCAGGCACGAAAGCGUGGGGAGCAAACAGGAUUAGAUACCCUGGUAGUCCACGCCGUAAACGAUGCACACUAGGUCGGGGCAGCUCUGACGCUGUCUCGGCCGAAGGAAAACUAUUGAGUGUGCCGCCUGGGGAGUACGGUCGCAAGGCUAAAACUCAAAGGAAUUGACGGGGGCUCACACAAGCGGUGGAGCAUGUUGCUUAAUUCGAGGCAACGCGAAGAACCUUAUCCUAGGCUUGACAUGUAUGGAUUAGCUGUUGGAAACAUCAG